rnacentral:sRNA from 1 species
CACUGAGAGGUAGUGGUGCUUAGGGCAGUAGCAGGUUUCUUUUUUAAAGGCAGAGAGGAAUCAAGGAACAGAAGCCCUUGAGAGGCCUUAAAAAUCAUUCCUUUGAAUUCCUUCCCCUCCCCCCAAUACACAUUCCUGUGUCUGGAACUAAAAUGUUGACUCCAACUUGAGCCUGUUUCCCCUCAUCCGUCUUUUUUUGUGGGGGUGGCGGCCCUGCAAUGCACUUAUCACCUGUUCUUUCGGAAAACGCAGCUGACAUAACCUUGCCUUUCCAUUCCCCAGGCGGGAGGCAGCACCGGGCUCUUGAUGGACUUGGCAGCCAAUGAGAAGGCCGUUCAUGCAGACUUUUUUAAUGAUUUUGAAGAUCUUUUUGAUGAUGAUGACAUCCAGUGAGAUGCCCUCUGGCUGCAGGUGGGGCCAAGCCCUUGGUACAGAGCCGCAGUGUGAGCCUGCGCAGGACAGUUUCAGGUGGUUUUAAAGAACACGUGGCAAUCCCUUGAAUUUAGGACCUGGUUAACCAAGAAAGAUAAGAAUGUUCUUAACGACCUAGAUGAGGCUGUUCGUCUCUGAAUGUGAUCAGGUUUUGUCCUCACUCCAAUUAAAAGAAAGCAAUGUCA